ensembl:lncRNA
GUCGUCUUCAUACUAAAGCUUCUGCUCUGAGCUCUGAGAUGAAGAUGUGGUGAAGGGGGAGGCCGUGGGGGGCAGAGCCUUUAAUAAAGGACUGAAAAUGAGCUAUAAAAGAGAAAGUGAGAGUCUCAGCAGCUCAAAAACGAGAUAAAGACAGAGAGAGGAGCAUUCAGAGCUUCAGACGCCUGCAGAGAAGAUGGAGAUGAAGAUGAGCUGUGUGUGUUUGGUGCUGGGGCUGGUCCUGCUGAUGACCGUCUCGUCAAACGCUCAGCCUCAUAGUAUCGAGGGUCAUCCUGAUAACUGCUGUUUCAGCUUCGUCACCUUUGAAAUUCCAGACAAAGAAAUACUAGAAGCUGUAAAAACACAUCCCAGCUGCCCAAAGACAGGCUUUGUGUGAGAAUCUGCCUUUCGAAGACAUAGAUCAUCACAGUCGGAACAAAACCUUGCGUCUCCAACAUGUGAACUUUUCAUGAGGAGAAAAAACUUUCCUGAGUUCAACGUGAGUGGAUGUUAUGAGAUUUUACAGCAUUUCUAUUGGUCCAGUCAUAGUGAGGUUUUGGCACAAUCAAAAGCUGCUGUUUCAAAUCAUAUUGAAAGAGUGGAGAUGCAAGGGUUUGUUCUGAUAGAGACGAUAUGAUGUAUAUUGUCUUAUCAUUUAUUUCUGUAUUAAAUCUGAUUCGCAUCUCUCAGGGUUAAAACGAAGAGCAUGGGCAGACUCUGCAAGAAAGACCUGCAGGAAAUCUAGAUCUGAGCUGCAGCUUCAACACAGCCCAGCUGCAGCAAACAGAGCAGCUGAAAGCUUUACACUCCCAUUCAGUCAUCACAGGAUUUUAUCAGCAGUUCAUGACAAAAAUCUCUGCAGAGAAAAAUAACAUCAUUAAGAUAAAUUCGACUUAAGUGCUCAAGCUUCUAUACAGUAUAUAAAUAUUAUUAAUGCUUAUUUUAUGCUGUGGAUUCAAAUAAAGCAAUGCAUUGCAAACAUUUCCAGUGAGUCAUUUAUAUUGUUAUUGUAUUCCAUAGAUACAAACAGUGAUAGUGAUACAGUGAUAUUGAAGCUGAGUGUGCACUCACAUUCACACAACAGUGUGGGUUGAUGAUACGAACAGCGUGUCGAUGUGUUUAGUCUACCCAUCUUGUGUGUAGUAGUAUUAGUGCACAUUUAUGGAGACAGAAUGUACAGUAAUAAAAAGAAAA